UCCCAGUUAGUACAACGGUUAGUAUACGGCACUUUCAAAAGUUGGCGACAUGCCAGCAGAACUGCUGAGAUCGGGGUUCGAUUCCCCGGCCGGGAA